rnacentral:snRNA from 1 species
GUACUCUAUAUGCCUUUUGGCUAAGAUCAAGUGUAGUAUCUGUUCUUAUCAGUUUAAUAUCUUAUACAUCCUCUAUCUGAGGACAAUAUAUUAAAUGGAUUUUUGGAAUUAAGAGAUAGAAUAGGAGCUUGCUCCAUCCACUCCACGCAUCGACCUGGUAUUACAGUAUCUCCAGGAAUGGUGCACACACA